rnacentral:rRNA from 1 species
GACGAACGCUGGCGGCGUGCUUAACACAUGCAAGUCGAACGAAGAGCGAUGGAAGCUUGCUUCUCUCAAUCUUAGUGGCGAACGGGUGAGUAACGCGUAAUCAACCUGCCCUUCAGAGGGGGACAACAGUUGGAAACGACUGCUAAUACCGCAUACGAUCUAAUCUCGGCAUCGAGGAUAGAUGAAAGGUGGCCUCUACAUGUAAGCUAUCACUGAAGGAGGGGAUUGCGUCUGAUUAGCUAGUUGGAGGGGUACCGGCCCACCAAGGCGAUGAUCAGUAGCCGGUCUGAGAGGAUGAACGGCCACGUUGGGACUGAGACACGGCCCAGACUCCUACGGGAGGCAGCAGUGGGGAAUCUUCCGCAAUGGACGAAAGUCUGACGGAGCAACGCCGCGUGAGUGAUGACGGCCUUCGGGUUGUAAAGCUCUGUUAAUCGGGACGAAAGGCCUUCUUGCGAACAGUUAGAAGGAUUGACGGUACCGGAAUAGAAAGCCACGGCUAACUACGUG